rnacentral:rRNA from 1 species
CAGCAGCCGCCACGGUAAUACGAAGGGUGCAAGCGUUACUCGGAAUUACUGGGCGUAAAGCGUGCGUAGGUGGUGGUUUAAGUCCGUUGUGAAAGCCCUGGGCUCAACCUGGGAAUUGCAGUGGAUACUGGGUCACUAGAGUGUGGUAGAGGAUAGUGGAAUUUCCGGUGUAGCAGUGAAAUGCGUAGAGAUCGGAAGGAACAUCUGUGGCGAAGGCGACUAUCUGGGCCAACACUGACACUGAGGCACGAAAGCGUGGGGAGCAAACAGGAUUAGAUACCCCGCGUAGUCCCUGUCUCUUAUA